rnacentral:miRNA from 1 species
AGAAAUAAAUAUUGGGUUGGGU